GACGUAGGGGGCCAGCGUUGUUCGGAAUUACUGGGUGUAAAGGGUUCGUAGGCGGUGUGGCAAGUCGGGAGUGAAAUCUCUGGGCUCAACUCAGAGACUGCUUCCGAAACUGCUGUGCUGGAGUGUGGGAGAGGCGCGUGGAAUUGCAGGUGUAGCGGUGAAAUGCGUAGAUAUCGUAAGGAAGACCAGUGGCGAAGGCGAGUCUCUGGACAGUUACUGACACUGAGGCACGAAGGCCAGGGGAGCAAACGGG
rnacentral:rRNA from 1 species